CACAAUGAAGAACUACUCUAACCUCUAAUCCAACACAACUAACCAACUAAGCAAAGGCUAAUCAUGCUAUCAUAAAAGCAAACAAAGCGAACGCAAUACACAUAUUCCAUCAUAUGUGUUCUAUACAGAUUGAUCAACUAAGCGAAGAUACAAUCACCAAUUAGGCAACUAAGCGUAUACCCAUUGCAAGAACACAAUCAGAUUUCCUAGAGUGUCAGGCAUAGCAGAAUAAUCACAAGACAGUCCGAGAAUCUCAAAGAAGCAAAGUAAUAUCGCUAAUGACCGACCCGACUCACUUAAGCUAAUAUCACAAUUAAAGAAGUAGAAGCAUCAGUAAAGGCAAACUGAGAUUAAAACAACACCUGAAAACAAAAUGAACAAUAAAACGCAAUGACAUAGUAUAACAAUAAAGAAGAUGGUGAACCACUUAAUUGCAAUAAGCAUAUUAGCAGCAGCAAGAACCAACUUUUGUGGUGAACUUGAAUGAUGCAAAUGGUGAAUUAGCAGAAAGCAAUUUUAAAACAUUAGAAUGUCGUGAAUGCUGAAUGUAUUGAAAGAUGCCACUAAAUGUGGGCGUGACAGCCAUGUGCGCCCCAUCUAAUAAUCAAGAAACUUGCUUUCUUAAAGAAAUGAAUUUAACUUCAUCACCGUGAAGUUUCUCCCUAAUGAAAUCAACAUUGUGCAAUUUCCAGAAUUAAGCGUCGUCAUCUUCAGCUGAAAUAGAAAUAAGCUAAUUCUAAGGAAAUGAAUGAUUCCGCAUGUGCGCUUCUUUCCCAUGAAAUCAAUGCUUUCUCCAAUUGAAUAAAAAUAAAAACGAUGCACCCUUAAAUGAAAUCCAGCUAACACGUGAGCAAUUGUGCCUCUUCAAUAAGCGUUUCUUCAUUCAUUCAUCAUCAAAGUGUGUAAAAACCAUUGAAAGAAAAAUGAUGUCCCGAGAUAUGUUGCAGCCGUGACACCACCUCUUUGCUUCCAAAUAAAAAGAACGCUGCACACUAUAAAAGAAAUAUGCCCUUGGACGUUCCAGCACUUAGGCUUCCUUAAAGAACCGUAUCAAUUUCUCAAAUUGAAAUCAGCAUUUUUAUAUUAAAGCAAAGCACUGUGAACUCUCCAUUUUCUUCAACCAAAAUUCAUAAACAUAUGUGGCGAUUGCAGCUAAUGAAAAAGUAAAGAGAAAAAAAAAUGCUUUCUUUUAUUCAACCAAAAUCAAAAUGACUAAACAUUGUUCAAAGAAAAACUUUUACCUACUGGAACAUUGCAACCAAAUUCCUUCCUCUACAAAAUAUCUGCCGAGAAAAAGUGUCUCCCAAGUGUGACGGCUGGUGACUUUUCUAAGAGGCCAUGUGUCCUAAAAUUGGGGUGGGGUCCACCCUAAAAAUAAAAGGAAAACCUAGGUCAAGUGUCCUACAAUUUUAGGCCCCUCAUAAUUUUUAACAAUGGCCCAAUGUGCAAAACUUUGUCCAAAAAGUUUAAACAAUUAAAUUACAAUAUAACUAAAUUUAAAAUGUCUAUUUGGAGAGUCUUGAAUUUAUUUGAUAGCACUCCAAAUGUCCCAAAUUGUAUUUCCAAAAUUUUCCCUGAAAAUAAUAAUGCAAAUAAUUAGCUCAGAAAAUUCAAAUUAAUUAGAAUUAGAAUUUCUAGUCAAAUUAAGCACAAUUAGCAGAAACGGGAAAAUACCGGACAAUUAAGCACAAUUCCCUGAUUAAUUCUAGCACAAUAAACUAAGUGAAAUCAAUAAAAUAUCGACUCAUCAAAAUAGACCACACUUAAUCUUUUGCACUCUUGGGGAAAAUCAAGACGCAAAUCAGGGAACAACUCAACGGACAUCAGGGAAGAGACAGACUCAACACAUAGAAAACAAAGACUGACAAGGAUAGAAACAAAAUUACACAGUCCUCAAGAAAUUUGGACAAUGAAAGGAAGUGGACAGUAUCCAACACAGAAUAAAGGAAAGCAGAUACUCAUGAAAUCAUUCAAGCAAUUCAAGACAUGGCAAAAUGAUCAAUCAGCUCAAGAGGUGAAUCAAAAGCAACAGAGCCUCACAGAUGCACUAUCAUUGUUUCUCUCAAGUGUCUAGGGUAAAGAAAUUCAACUCAAUGCACUCAAGAAAACAAGCACAAACAGACUUGGCAAGCUUCUAAUAUCAACACUCAAAACAUAUGCAUGUUCAAAUCAAAAGGUCUUUUAUAGAUGUAAUGGGGCCAAGGACAAGGGAUGAUAAAAUAUGGAUGAGAAGCUACAAACCAAAAGAAAUAGAGGAGCAAUGGGGAACAAGUGAAAAUCCAAGUAAAUCACACCCAAAACCCUUUAAUUCAAUCCUCUUCUUGACUCCAUUAUUCACAAGUUUUUUUCUCAUUUUUCUUUUUUUCAUUUUUUUUUUCUCAUCUUGUCUCUUUUCUUUUCUUUUCUUUUUUUUAUUUAGGACACAAAUCUAAGAGACAAGAUACACAACAUAUUUAUACAAACAGAAACAAGAAGAGGAACCAAUUAGCCAAUUCAUCAGAAUCCCCACGGAGACCACACUUAUUCCCAAAACUAUUCCAAAGCUCCAAAAAUCCCUAAUGUUAAGGUAAUCAUGGUUUUUCAGUUAGGGCUAGUGUAUGAGCUUCAAAAACAAAGAAAUGGGGAAGGCAUAGGCUCAAAAGGGGUUAUCAAGGGAUCUAAACAAGGUAGGCUCAUCUGGCUAGAGAGGAUCAAGAACAAAACUGCCUUUAUCACUUCCAAACAUGCAUAUCAAUCAAGAAUCAUCAAAAAGAGUCAAGCCAAGGCAUAUGUUCAAGCAAUCAAGAGACAUAUCACACAGGAAAGAACAUAAAGUGGCUCAAAUCUCACACAGGGUAAUUGUCACAAUCAAAUCAACCUCUCAAACAUCAUAAUCAUCUUCCAAGCAGAGAAAAACAUGGAUUUCAGACCAAUCAGAGUAUCAAUAAAAUGAAAGACACAUCUACAACCUAAGCAAAGUCCAGAAAUCAAGAGAAACAUGUAAAACUAUACACAAGACAAAACAAAAACUACCUAGAAAACAAAAAAAUUUAACACAAAAAACCAUAAACUAAUCAAAGAAAAAUUAGAGUCUCCCCCAAUAGACCACACUUAAACUACACAGUGUCCCCAAUGUGUCACAAGCAUAAGAUCAGUAGUCAAAACAGUCAACAGAUCAUGGACAAGUGUAAUACAAGUGGGGUAAGAAGGAGAAGGGAAAGAAAACUCCCCUGAUCAUGGUGGCAGUUGCCAAUUUUGGAGUUUCAAGGAGAUCUCUUCCACCACAGGAUUCAGCCAAGAAGUCUUGAGGAGGAACUACUUCAGUCUCCAAAUUUGAUCAAGCAGGGAAAUGUCCUCCAUAGCUGGAUCUAAGAAGCAAUGAUUGUUGAUGAGUUGGUUCAGUUGGUGCCUAUUGAUGUUAAAGCUCUUGUGUAUGCUUGCACCUUUGUUUUCCAUUGUGGGUGCUUGUUGGUCAAACUCAUGUGUACCUCCUGCAAUAGGGUUAGUGCAAUGUGGCUCCAAAGAAAUGACAUGCAGGGGUAUAACACCCAAUCCCAGUGUAACAGGUUGAACCUCAGAUAAACCCUCAAAACAUGAAUCAAUUUCAAAUGUAGAAACAAUAUCAACAACAGUCACAGAUUCAUGUUCAGUGCAUGGAGAACAAACUUUCAAAUGUGAUAUCAAACAGUGGUUUUCAUCAUGCAGAGAGGUAGAAUAAAAAUCAUGCUCAUCAACAAUAUAAUCAUCAACAUACCUAUCACUAGCAUCAUCAUCAACAACAGAAUCAAUCAUAGGUAUGUUUACCUCCACUUCCCUGAAGAUUGGUAGAGUGGGGGAAGAUGAAGAUGGUUUACCUAUCUCAAUGGUGUUGCUUAUAUCUGCCUGUUCCUCAACAUUUUCAUCAGACUCACAGUUAGUAUCACCCAUCAAUAAGUUGGAAGUUGGUUGUAUCACAGAAUUGAUUUCAACACAAAUAGAGCAAGAACCAACUUCACAACCACAUUUAAAAUUUUCAGAAAACUGUGAAAGAUCAAAAUUUAAUCCUAAGUCUAAAUCAUCUUCAGUUUUCACAGUUUCUAUAUCGAAAUCAUCACUAACAUGUGAAUCUGCAGCAGAAUCAAGAAUAUUUGAAUUCAUAAACAGCUCAGGCAAAACAAGUGGAAUUUCAAGUUUAGAGAAAACCUGUGCUGAUUCAUGAUUCAUCUCACCAACAACAGUAGAAUGAGCAAGUGGAAUUUCAAGUUUAGAGGAAACCUAUGCUGAUUCAUGAUUCAUCUCACCAACAACAGUAGAAUGAGCAACUGCAUCCGCAGGUGCAAGAGUGGGGAGAUAGGAGGGUGGGAAAGUAGAUGGCGCAGUAGUAAGCUCGUGGCUCUGUUCCUCAUCUCCUAUGUGGAUGGCACUGACAUCAUCAAGAAUCGGAACAGUCUGAAAUGGUGAUCCCUCUAAAAAUUGAGAUUGUUCCUCGGUGCACUGUGCGGCCAUCUGCCCCUACAAUUCAUUCAAUGUAGGCUCAAAAGAAGUAAAAGAUUUGGCAAGUGCCUUUUGCUGUUUUUGUUGCCUCUGAUUUUUCUGUUGUGGCUGCCUGUUAUUGUAGAUGUUGGUAGCAUAAGCUUGAGACUCAUCAUGAGAAAUAGGGUGCUCCAAAGAAGGACAUGCAUCUGUAUAGUGGUCACUAGAAGGACAUAUAGCACACAGCCGUGCAACAGAUGUAGAUGGAGGUGUUAGUCUCUGGUUGGAUGCGAGCUGUGUCACCAAACUCUCAAGAGGAUCAAGUUUGCUUUCCAAUUUCCUACCAACAGCUCAUAAAGAAUGGGCAGGUUCAUGAAACUGCAGCUGCUGAGGUUCCUAAACAGGUGGAGAAGGCAUACAAGAAUUCGGAAAUGGUUGAUAUUGCUGUGGAGCAUCAUACCAUCCCAAGCUAGGGUCAUUCCAUCCAGGAUCGUUACUGUUACCAUAUUGAGCAGGGAAGAAUUUAUCCAAGAACGUAUGCUUAAGAUCUUCCCAAGAAGUGAUGGAUCCUGGAGGAAGACAAUACAACCAACCCCUUGCUGCUUCUUGUAAUGAAUGCGGGAAUGCCCUUAAAAACAUGUCUUCAUCCAGGACAUCUGGAGGUUUCAUUAAAGAGCAUAAUGUGUAGAACUCCUCCAAAUGUCUAAGUGGGCAUUCACCUGCAAAACCAUGAAACCUAGGUAGCAAAUGUAUCAGUCCAGUGUUGAAAACACAACGAAUAUCCUCCUCAUCAAGUGGAACUGGCUCCCUAGGAGCACUCUCAUGAGAUGGAAGAGGAACCUUAGUGUUCUCAACAUAGAAAUCAACAGGAGAAUCAUAAUCAUAGGCACAAGCAGAAAAAACAGUAUCCACAAAGCCAAAAUAGGUAGACAUGGGAAAGAAGGGAGAAAAGAAUAAUGCAAUGAAAAUAUGCAACUAAAGCUACCUAAAUGCAACACACAAUGACGAACACACAAAACAAAACAUCACACUCACAACACAAGACAAGACAACACACACUAACACAACAAAAGACCCAAAACCGAACAGUUGGUCCCCGGCAACGGUGCCAAAAUUUUGAUGGGCAUCGCACCCCAUGCAAAAUUUAAUAUGCAUAUUAGAAAUGCAGUAUAGACUAGGAAGUGACUCCUAGAUCGUCUCUCAAGGACCAAAUGUGGUUCGAGAAUUAGGUCAAACAUGUAAGGGGGGUUGUUGAAAAGUUUUGUGAAUGUAGAUGAAUAAAAUUAAAUUACGAAUGCAAACAGAAAUGCAAAUACAGAUGUAAAAAUGGUUCAAAGACAGAAUGAAAAUGGUCGGUCAUUAACUCAAUUACUAUGCUUCCAAUCACAUAUUAACACAAUGAAAAGCUACUCUAACCUCUAAUCCAACACAGCUAACCAACUAAGCGAAGGCUAAUCAUGCAAUCAUAAAAGCGAACUAAGUGAACGCAAUACACAUAUUCCAUCAGAUGUGUUCUAUACAGAUUGAUCAACUAAGCGAAGAUACAAUCACCAAUUAGGCAACUAAGUGUAUACCCAUUGUAAGAACACAAUCAGAUUUCCUAGAGUGUUAGGCAGAGAAGAAUAAUCACAAGACAGUCCGAGAAUCUCAAAGAAGCAAAGUAAUAUAACUAAUGACCGACCCGACUCACUUAAGCUAAUAUCACAAUUAAAGAAGUAGAAGCAUCAGUAAAGGCAAACUGAGAUUAAAACAACACCUGAAAACAAAAUGAANAAUAAAACGCAAUGACAUAUAACAAUAAAGAAGAUUAUUCUUCCCACCCCUUGUUCUCAUGCUUUGCACCUCCAUUUAUUUUUCUAUUUUGUCCCUUUAUUCUUUGUCCACCCUGCUCGUUUACCUUUGCACUACCCACUCUUUUCAUUUUUUUCCUUUUGGGCUGGAAUGCGUUUCACUUUCUGCACCGAUGCUUUCACCAUUUAGUCUCUCCCACCUCUUUCAUUUUAUUUUUGGGCUUUAGAUUUUUGCACACCAUGCAUUAUAACCUUUUGUGCCCCC
rnacentral:lncRNA from 1 species